rnacentral:rRNA from 1 species
CAGCAGCCGCGGUAAUACAGAGGGUGCGAGCGUUAAUCGGAUUUACUGGGCGUAAAGCGUGCGUAGGCGGUUCGUUAAGUCUGUUGUGAAAGCCCCGGGCUCAACCUGGGAAUGGCAAUGGAUACUGGCGAGCUAGAGUGUGUCAGAGGAUGGUGGAAUUCCCGGUGUAGCGGUGAAAUGCGUAGAGAUCGGGAGGAACAUCAGUGGCGAAGGCGGCCAUCUGGGACAACACUGACGCUGAGGCACGAAAGCGUGGGGAGCAAACAGGAUUAGAUACCCCCGUAGUCCCUGUCUCUUAUAC